GGCUGGUCCGAUGGAAGUGAGUACACAGAAAUUAUUACUGUUAGUGAAACAAACACUUCUAUAUUCCACCCCACUGCUAAGUUUGACUAGUGUUUU
rnacentral:Y_RNA from 1 species